GGUUGUAUAGUGUAGCGGUCAUCACAUCGGAUUCUGAUGUCCUCCUCCUCCUCCCCGUGGAGAGAACCAGACAUUCCGGGAACCCCGGUUCGAUUCCGGGUACGACCU